ACAUCACCAGUUAGUGCUGAUCAACCCGGCCCGUCAUCUGCACAGGUUUACCUGAUGCAGAGAAACAGCUGAGGCCUGUUUAACCACUGAGGGUCCCACAGGGAACAUUGAAAAGUCAAAUGAGGCUUCUGGAUUUGGUCUCAACCUUUUCUUCAGAUAGGACAGCUGAAGAGAGACAAGAAAUAUUGGGAG